rnacentral:misc_RNA from 1 species
GUGUCCGCCGUGAAUAGACAGAGGAUGGUGUACAAAGCUAUCUGGGAGGAGCUGCAGAGCACCGUCCACGCCGUUGAUCAAAUGACCACAAAAACUCCUGCUGAAGCUGCAAAAGGUCCGUAAUGUCUUAUGUAUUCUAUCGGGUUUGGCAUUUUGUAUCUUAUGUAACAGUCCAAAUAUAUGUUUGGCUCCGUUUCAUAUCCAAUAUUUAUAAAUAAUUGAAUCCUG